GAUGAACGCUAGCUACAGGCUUAACACAUGCAAGUCGAGGGGUAACGAGAGGAAAGCUUGCUUUCCUUGUCGACGACCGGCGCACGGGUGAGUAACGCGUAUCCAACCUGCCCCCAACUAGGGAAUAACCUUGCGAAAGUAAGACUAAUACCCUAUAAUCUCCUCAGACGACAUCUGACGAGGAAUAAAUAUGUAACGGUAGUGGAUGGGGCUGCGUCUGAUUAGAUUGUUGGCGGGGUAACGGCCCGCCAAGGCAACGAUCAGUAGGGGUUCUGAGAGGAAGGUCCCCCACAUUGGAACUGAGACACGGUCCAAACUCCUACGGGAGGCAGCAGUGAGGAUUAUUGGUCAAUGGGCGGAAGCCUGAACCAGGCAAGUAGCGUGCAGGAUGACGGCCCUAUGGGUUGUAAACUGCUUUUAUACAGGAAUAAAGUUAGCCACGUGUGGUUAUUUGUAGGUACUGUAUGAAUAAGGACCGGCUAAUUCCGUGCCAGCCGCCGCCGUAA
rnacentral:rRNA from 1 species